rnacentral:lncRNA from 1 species
AUCUUUGUCUGUGCUACCAAGGGCUAGGUGAUCUACAUGCCCCCUGGCACAUGGAAGGCACUCAUUAAACAUUUAUUGAGAGAAGGAAUGGAUACAUUUGGGCUACACAAGUAGCCUGUGAAUCUAGUUUUGUAAACUCCAUUUUACAGCGAAGGUAUCUAGUUUACCCAAGAUCACGCUCUAGUGUAAGAAUUAGGAGCACGAACCCUGAAGCCAGAGGACACCCUACUCCCUGCCUCAUUACUAUGUGAAGAGCAUCCUCACCGGGAGUAGAUUCCAUCUCAAGAAACCACUUUCUUUGCAUAUCCAUAAGAAGCAAUUCUUCAUCCAUUCAAGUCCUACCAUGAGAUUGCAACAAUCAAGUCACAUCUUCAGGUUCCACUUCUAAUUCCAGUUCUCUUGCUAUUUUCACCACAUCUGCAGUUACUUUCUCCACUAAAGUCUGGAACCCUUCAAAAUCACCCAUGAAGUUUGGUAUCAGCUUCUUUCAAGCUCCUGUUAAUAUUGCUUUUUGACCUUCUAGGAGAUGUGAAUGUUCU